CCUACGGGUGGCUGCAGUGGGGAAUAUUGGACAAUGGGCGAAAGCCUGAUCCAGCCAUGCCGCGUGUGUGAAGAAGGCCUUCGGGUUGUAAAGCACUUUCAGUGGGGAAGAAAGCCUUGGGGCUAAUACCCUCGAGGAAGGACAUCACCCACAGAAGAAGCACCGGCUAAACUCCGUGCCAGCAGCCGCGGUAAUACGGAGGGUGCGAGCGUUAAUCGGAAUUACUGGGCGUAAAGCGCGCGUAGGCGGUCUGAUAAGCCGGUUGUGAAAGCCCCGGGCUCAACCUGGGAACGGCAUCCGGAACUGUCAGGCUAGAGUGCAGGAGAGGAAGGUAGAAUUCCCGGUGUAGCGGUGAAAUGCGUAGAGAUCGGGAGGAAUACCAGUGGCGAAGGCGGCCUUCUGGACUGACACUGACGCUGAGGUGCGAAAGCGUGGGUAGCAAACAGGAUUAGAUACCCCGGUAGUC
rnacentral:rRNA from 1 species